rnacentral:lncRNA from 1 species
CUUACUUGCCAAAGAUGAUGCUCGGGUGAAUGAGAAAUUGAGGCUCAAAAUGUGCUACUCAAAAGGGAGUUUAUGUGGGAAAAAUGAAUUUGUCCCACAUAGGAAAAAGAUGAGAAACUCCAAAGGUCAUUGCCAUUAAUGGUAGCCUAGCCUAUAAAUUGUGGCUCAUUUUCCUCAUUUCAAUACACCAAAGCAAAAGUUUUCAAGUUUAGAAUACACAAGAAAUUCAUUUGCAUAGAGUUCUGUCUUUUCUGCAUUUCUGUCUUGGUGGUGGUGUAGUUCAGGCACUAGUU